ACUGCCCGCUUUCUUCCUUCCUAACACAUGCAAGUCGAACGAGACCUUCGGGUGUAGUGGCGUCUGGGUGCGUCACGCGUGGGAACCUUCACUUAGGUUCGGACUAACUCUCAGACUGGGGUGCUAAUACCGGAUCAUGUCUACGGACCAAAGAUUUAUCGCCUUUGGUUGGUCACGCGUUGGAUUAGCUAGUUGUUAGGGUAAUAGCCUACCACGGCGAGGAUCCAUAACUGGUUUGAGAGGAUGAUCAGCCACACUGCGACUGAGACGCGGCCCAGACUCCUACGGGAGGCAGCAGUGGGGAAUAUUGGACAGUGGGCGAAAGCCUGAUCCAGCAAUGCCGCGUGAGUGAUGAAGGCCUUAGAGUUGUAAAGCUCUUUUACCCGUGAUGAUAAUGACAGUACCGGGAGAAUAAGCUCCGGCUAACUCCGUG
rnacentral:rRNA from 1 species